rnacentral:rRNA from 1 species
AAAUUGAAGAGUUUGAUCAUGGCUCAGAUUGAACGCUGGCGGCAGGCCUAACACAUGCAAGUCGAACGGUAACAGGAAGCAGCUUGCUGCUUCGCUGACGAGUGGCGGACGGGUGAGUAAUGUCUGGGAAACUGCCUGAUGGAGGGGGAUAACUACUGGAAACGGUAGCUAAUACCGCAUAACGUCGCAGGACCAAAGAGGGGGACCUUCGGGCCUCUUGCCAUCAGAUGUGCCCAGAUGGGAUUAGCUUGUUGGUGAGGUAACGGCUCACCAAGGCGACGAUCCCUAGCUGGUCUGAGAGGAUGACCAGCCACACUGGAACUGAGACACGGUCCAGACUCCUACGGGAGGCAGCAGUGGGGAAUAUUGCACAAUGGGCGCAAGCCUGAUGCAGCCAUGCCGCGUGUAUGAAGAAGGCCUUCGGGUUGUAAAGUACUUUCAGCGGGGAGGAAGGGGAUAAGGCUAAUAACCUUGUU